GACGAACGCUGGCGGCGUGCCUAAUACAUGCAAGUAGAACGCACAGUUUAUACCGUAGCUUGCUACACCAUAGACUGUGAGUUGCGAACGGGUGAGUAACGCGUAGGUAACCUGCCUGGUAUCGGGGGAUAACUAUUGGAAACGAUAGCUAAUACCUCAUAAUAUUAAUUAUUGCAUGAUAAUUAAUUGAAAUGUGCAAUUGCACCACUACCAGAUGGACCUGCUUUGUAUUAGCUAGUAGGUGAGGUAACGGCGCACCUAGGCGACGAUACAUAGCCGACCUGAGAGGGUGAUCCGCCAAACCGGGAAUGAGACACGGCCCAGACUCCUACGGGAGGCAGCAGGAGGGAAUUCUCGGCAAUGGACGAAAGUCUGACCGAGGAACGCCGGGUGAGGGAAGAAGGGUUUCGGAUCGGAAAGCUCUGUUGUAAGAGAAGAACGGGUGUGAGAGUGGAAAGUUCACACUGUGACGGUAUCUUACCAGAAAGGGACGGCUAACUACGUG
rnacentral:rRNA from 1 species